rnacentral:rRNA from 1 species
AUGGCCCUACGGGAGGCAGCAGUGAGGAAUAAUGGUCAAUGGGCGCGAGCCUGAACCAGUCAAGUCGCGUGAGGGAAGACGGUCCUAUGGAUUGUAAACCUCUUUUAUCGGGGAGCAAAAGACGCCACGCGUGGCGUUCCGAGAGUACCCGAAGAAAAAGCAUCGGCUAACUCCGUGCCAGCAGCCGCGGUAAUACGGAGGAUGCGAGCGUUAUCCGGAUUUAUUGGGUUUAAAGGGUGCGCAGGCGGAAGAUCAAGUCAGCGGUAAAAUUGAGAGGCUCAACCUCUUCGAGCCGUUGAAACUGG